rnacentral:rRNA from 1 species
CACGUAGGCGGAUUGAAAAGUUGGGGGUGAAAUCCCGGGGCUCAACCUCGGAACUGCCUCCAAAACUAUCAGUCUUGAGUUCGAGAGAGGUGAGUGGAAUUCCGAGUGUAGAGGUGAAAUUCGUAGAUAUUCGGAGGAACACCAGUGGCGAAGGCGGCUCACUGGCUCGAUACUGACGCUGAGGUGCGAAAGCGUGGGGAGCAAACA